rnacentral:rRNA from 1 species
AUGAUGAAUGAGCCAUUUGGCUCAAGACAAGUCAAUCCUCUUCUCACUUGGUCUAUGGUACACUCUGACACUUUUAAUGGGACUGGGACUCCUGUAGUGGCAGCUGAUUGGUUGCGCAUCAUGGAGCAACGCCUUGAGGUCAUGCAAGUGCAACCAGCCCAAAAGGUGAUGUUUGCUACUAUUCAGCUAAAGGGCAAUGCAGACAUCUGGUGGGAGAAUGUUCGUUCCUCUUUACCACCAGAGCAUGCCACACCUACUUGGGAGUUCUUUCGAACUCAAUUCAUUGAGAAGUACUAUCCGGCUUCCUAUGUAGAGAGGAUGGAGAAUGCACUAAGCAAGUUAAGGCAAGGAAACAAAACAAUACAGGAUUAUGAAACUGAGUUCAACGAUAUUAUCCGCUUUGUGCCAACAGUGGUUAAUAAUGAUAAAGAGAAGGCAAGGAGGUUCAAGGAUGGGCUAGAGCAGCAGUAUCGUGUUGUGCUCAGUGCUGCUGUGUCCUCUAGCUUUGCUUCCUUGGUUGAGAAUGCCAAAAAGAUAGAGUUCGAGCUGCAGAAUGGCUCACCUCCUCCAAUCAUAUCUUCCCCACCCGGUGGCCCCAGUAAUUUCUCUACUGCGGGUGCCAACCAAAAGCAAGACUAUGGUGAUAGCGGCAAGUCUAACCGCCACCCAAUGAAGAAGUUUAAGAAUGUCCAGCCUACCCCCAGCCCUUCAAGCAGAAGUCGCAGAAGGCCUCAUCCUCUGUUGGACCGCGUGUGCAAUAUCGUCCAAUGCCUGGGCAAGGGAUGA